UUUUAGCUAUGUCUUUUUUUUUCAGUGUUGAACUGUGAGGAACUUCGAUGUACAAUCGUGCCAGAAAAAACUGUCAAAGGAAGCUGAUUAAGAGUGACAUGGUACUGAAUAAAAAGCCUGUAACAUGUUACUAGAGCAGAAUAAUCGUGGACCUGCAUAGGGUGCAUGUCGCGGCAGCCAGCAAGAUGCCAGCCACAAGUCUCAUUCAUUGGUGACUGCACCAGGUCUGGCACCCUGCUGCAUCUCCCAAGCCAUCCUGAUUCCCACUGCCUCCCUCAUGAGUGGCAUGCCGUAUGCCCAUCCCUCACUCAGCCAGGUGGUGCCUGUAGCGCCGGUAGGCUAUCUUGAGGGGUCUCUUCGAUGACCCCAGCCCGUUAGUGGCACAGAUGGCAGAUGAAGUCACAGAGGUUCUCCUGAGCCACCUGAAAACUAUUAGUGACUUUCUAGAGCCAUUGGUGUCCAGUGCUGUGUUGGUGGCUGAUGGGGAAGACUUUGUGGCCACUGCUGCAUACCAGGUACAUCUCAAGUGACUGAUAACCAUUUAUGUUUGUUAUUACAGUGCAGAACUUUGUUUCAUUGUUCAAUGCAUAAAGUAGGAUGAAGAUAAGUACUUAUAAGUACUCACUUUGUUAUAUAGAAAGUCUCAUUAGUAAGGAAGCAUAUGUGAAUUUUUUGAGUCAGGACCAAUAGUAACUAUCGGGUUUUGUUAGGUUACGUUAGGUUAAGUUUAGGAUAUCUUCAAACCCAUGAUAGCCAGCACCUUAUGGUAUAAAUCAACAAAGAAUGACAUCACUUUGUUGUAUAGAAAGUCUCAUUAGUAAGGAAGCAUAUAUGAAUUUUCCUAUACCUAUAGUAAAUGUUUGGGUUUUUGUUAGGUUAGGCUAAGUUUAGCGUAUCUUCAAACACAUGAUAGCCAGCACCUUGUGGUAUAAAUCAACAAAGAAUGACCUCACUUUGUUGUAUAGAAAGUCUCAUUAGUAAGGAAGCUCAUAUGAAUUUUAUAAGUCAAGACUUAUAGUAUCUGUUCGGAGUUUUGUUAGGUUAUUUUAUAUUAAGUUUAGGGUAUCUUCAAACACAUGGUAGCCAACUUAAAGUUUAGGCUUUAAUAAAGGGGAUGUUAAAAGGGUUUUGGUUGUAAAAGAGGCAGGCAGGACACGUAGCAACUGUUUUAGCUUAGGUAAAUUCAGAUUCAACAAAGAUAUGGGCAAUAAUUGGCUCACCAGUGGCGUGGUGGAUGAGUGGAACAGGGUUGUCAGUCAUGUCGUGGGUGCCAAUAGCCCAAUACCAUAGAUACAUUCAAGAAGAGGUUGGAUAAAUUCAUGGAUAGUGAGGGAAGGUGGGGUUAGGUUUACAGGAGCUGCCUUUUAUAGGCCAAUCAGCCUCUUGCAGACUCCUUUCAUUCUUAUGUUCUUAAAAAGUUGUUAGAAGAUGUAGCAGUAGACACAAGAUGAACAUUCUUAGGUUUAAGAAGGAGAUAGUAAAAACUAGUGUGGAAGUUGGUCGUGGAUGAAUGGGACUUAUCAAGUAGUAGUUACAUUAAUGUUAAUACAGCCAGUAGUUUCAAAUACAGGUCUGAUAGAUUCAUAGAAAAUCAGAACUAGAAUGGAUUAAACAGAGUGGGCAGAACUGUCAAAAAUAAUCCACAACAGUAAAGUUAGCUGUCUCUAAAUUUAAUAUGAACAAUAUCAAAAAACUAAAGAAUGGCAAAGGCACAAAAAUAACCCAGAGAAGACUGGGUGUUGGCAGUCAUCAGUUGAUUGCUUUAGAAGAUGCAAAUGUCAAUACCACAAAUAAUACAGAGAAGGUAGAGUUGUGGAAGGAGGCGCAGCAGCUGAGUUGGUUACAAAAUCGCCCCUUGGAAGUGACAAGCCGGGCGAGGCAAUUUGAACCCCUUUGUUGCCAAGCCACAACCCCCAAAACAGUGUUUGAAUAACCUCCCUGAGAAAAUUGCAAGCUAAUGGAAGCCACAUCACUUGCCAUUUGCAUUCGGUUUCAUACAGACCCUAAGAACUGACAGUAUGGCAGUAAUUACAUACUCUCUUGAUGCCAGUGGCGGUGGUGAACCUGCCACUACCCCACUCAUGAAACACUGAUUUCAUUAAAGACUGAAAGGCUGAGAGUGUGGCAAUAGUUAGCUUGUACACUCUCUCUGAGACUACCACACAGCAAUAGAGGGAAUAGGGACUAAAGGCUUUGUUAAUGGCCAUAAUAACAUAUUUGGCAAGAGUAACAGGAAAAGUGAGAGGAAGUGGAAAGAAAAAAUGAGAUGCUAUUUGGCAGGGAAUGGAAAGAUGCUGACAAGAAAGCAGUUGGGAAGGUAGAGCACACAGAGGAGAAUUAAAGCAAUGUAAAGUUGAGGGAGUUCAGAAGCUACCCAUAGAAGGCCAGUCCUUCUUGGUUAAUGAUCUGUUUUGUAUCAGUGUCCAGAGAAGGCCAUAUUUUGGUCUAAUGCACAGCUGAAUAUUUUUCUGUGACUAGGAUCCUGAUCAGCUUGUGUUUGGCUAACAAGAGUGGCAGCCUCUUAUAGUGUAAGUAAAGUCGUGGGCAUACACUAAACUGCAUCUUGCACACCUGCCCCUCGGCGUGGUGUUGUUGCAUUGUUCUGUCUCAGCAGCAGGGUUGUGCACAUGCAGCAUGGGCCAAGGAUUCUAACUCACCACUGUCAAGUCUGGGUGUCAUGGCAGGCACCCUUCCCCGUCUGGCUGGGCCUUGGUUGCUGGGUGGAUUCGCUGUCUGCUGCGCUUGGGUUGGUGGAGUGUCCUGAGCUGCUGUGCCCUAACUGCAGUGCCAUCCACCUCUAUUGGAACUGUUGCUGCUCUGCAUGACUGGUGAAUUUCUAGGGGCCUCUGCUUCCCAAACUGUCACCAGAGCACCACCAUGCAUUACACCAGCAACACCUGCAGUGAAGGAGUAGCCUGCCAUCCUAGAGGAGAUGACAUAACCGGAGGAGAAGAGAUAGACGAGGCCAUGAUGUGAUGGUUCACAGCUAGCCCCAGAUAAAAGGAUAGAGGUUGAUGGCAGCUAGAGCCCCGCAGAUAGAACGUCUGUGGUGAUAAUCACGGAGGAGAAGGAGACAACACAUGAGGAGGUGCCUGAGGUGGCCCUAUUUGAUGCUGCUGAUUCCAAGGGCAACACAGUGACUGGGGAGUAGCUGCUUGCAGCAGUAGUAUACUGCUGAAGCUGGAUGAUGCAGACAGCACUCAGGUACACCUUUGGGAUGUCUGACCUUGUCAACUUCCUCAUCAGUUUUAAGUGCCUGGUGGAGCAGAAGGCAAAGGCAAGUUAUAAGCACAUUCUUCAUGAUGGAGUAGCUUGCAUGCAUCUCCUAAUUGUUACCAGACCCAAAGGCUACUUCUCUGUAAUUUUGCAACAUUACCCAAUCAGAUAUUGAAAGGAACCUGAAAGAGCUUUCACAUGACAUUCAUAUCAGUGGCAGUCUCUGUUCAUGCUAAAUUAGUAUCCACCAAUACUGCUGGAUUGAGGGUUGUUAGGCCUAGGGUAUGCUGUAACUCAGCAGCAUCAGCCUGUCGGUGCCUCUUGUAUGUAUUUAGCUGUCAGUUCUCUACGCAGUAAUUUCAACUGUUCAUUUUUAUAAAAAAAAUUUGACUUUAUAUAUUUUUGAUAAGGCAUCUGGUCAAAACCAUGAAUGCUAAACCCACAGAUAAGGUAGGUGAACUAUACCUAUAUAUAUAUAUAUAUGGAAAAAGCCAUGUCUGUUAUUCCCCUUCGGUGUUACUGUGGAUAUUCUUGGAACAGCUAAGAACUAUAAUUCAGAAAUGUUGGCUCCUUUGGAGAUAUUCCUGAGAGGCUUCUAAUGUCAGUGUUAAAUAAAUUUGUGACACAAAAAGAAUACACUGUAAUGUCUUCCUUCUGUAGCAAAUAGUAAAUAAACUUGAUCUGACGGUCA